rnacentral:rRNA from 1 species
UACGUAGGGUGCGAGCGUUGUCCGGAAUUACUGGGCGUAAAGAGCUCGUAGGUGGUUUGUCGCGUUGUCCGUGAAAACUCACAACUCAAUUGUGGGCGUGCGGGCGAUACGGGCAGACUGGAGUACUGCAGGGGAGACUGGAAUUCCUGGUGUAGCGGUGGAAUGCGCAGAUAUCGGGAGGAACACCGGUGGCGAAGGCGGUUCUCUGGGCCUUACCUGACACUGAGGAGCGAAAGCGUGGGGAGCGAACAGG